rnacentral:lncRNA from 1 species
UUUACGUCGGGACUCAAGGGUUUGUUAGGUUGUGCUAGGAGCGAUGGCUCUCGGUGUAACGGAGCUCUUAAGUGAAGAUGCUGAGAGGAAAAGGAAGAGUGCAAAACAUAGGGGAGAAUGUUUGCUGGAAAACGACAUGGUUAAAACCUAACGAUCUUAGCAGGUAUGUGUUUAGCUAGUAUUUUGAGUCUGCAUAUGCUUUUUCCAUAGACAGGUUAAAUGAGUUUUGGGUUUUUUUUCUUGUGCUCAAAACAGCAUCCUGCAGGUUGUUGAUUGCUAAUGAAGUUAUGGAUAUCUCUGAUGGCAGCGUCAUUCUGAAGUAAGUUAUGUGGCUUACAACAUCUAUAGUAUUUCUAACGUACUUUUAAUGUUGCUUUGGUUUAUGGUAAAUCACUGGUAGUGCUUUGGUCUGAUCAAUGAUGAAACCUAUCCCGAAGCUGAUUACCUGAAGAAAAAAAAGCACAUACGGAUUCGGCUUCUGAGAUAAGACCAAUGUGCAGAUGUGAAGUUAUUGGUGCCUGGAUUUUAUAAUUUGAGAAGUUUGUUACAUUGUGUCUUUUUUUUUUUUUUCCCCUCUGCCAACAGUGAGGGGUCGCUGUCUGCCUAUUGAAAGAGGCCAGAUUGCUGUGAAGUUCCUGAGAUAUUUCUGGCUAAUGCCACAAGAUUUACCGGUAUGUCGUGUGAAAAACUAAGGAAAAGCUCUUCAUUUUAUGGAUAUGGAAAGAAAAAUCAAGAUGGAUUAUAUUUUUUUUAAUUAUCCAGUCUUUAAUUAGUUAAGUAAAACUAGUUAAACUUUUUAAAAUCAAUUUUGAAUGAAUACCCUUUGGUUACAAGCUGUUUGAAUGUAAAAUGCGUCAUGGUGAUUAUAGCCAAAUGAAGGUUUUUACUAUUAUAGAAAGUUACUAAGAUGAGAGCAGAGUGGACAGAACAUAUUCCUGGGAUUGGGCUGGAAAGAAAGCCCACCAUCAAUAAUCAUUACUGGCUGAAUUAUGGAAUAUUUAGUCUUAGUGUAACAGUAUUGUGUAUUUAUUUAUGGUAUUAAGGUGUUUAUUCUGAAAACGAAGAAAGCACAAUAUAGCAAGUCAUGAGGAAGGUCACUGAUGAAAUGUAGUUUAAAAUUGUACAGACAUCCUGAAUGAAUAUAAGUGUUAAGUAAUUAAUACCAUCUGAUGUAACCAAGGUGGUUGGGCCCCAUGCAUAAUCAUUUUCCCUAAAUAGCUACAUGAAUAAAUUUUUCCCAAUCCAAGUAAGAAUGCCAAUAUUUAUAGUCAUCAUUAAUAAACCUAAAAUUUCCUUAGUGAAAAUUUGGAUCCCACGCAUGCAGCUCAGGGAGAGGUUUAUGAAACUGAUAAGGCUGUAGUUGAAUACUUUCCCAAGUAUCAAAACAGUAUACAAAAUAGCAUCUCUGGGAAUGUUUCCUUGGCAGCCAUAAACUACCCAUGUGUUGCAUUUAUUACAUGUAUUUAACAUUGCAGUCUACGCUCUUAUGACUGAUCUCCCUUACCCUGCUUUAUUUGGAAUAUAUAUUCUAGAAGACCUGUUUCAAACACAGACAUCCUAAGUACAUAGAAACCUUAAAUAUCUGGCUCUUGGUUAGAACAAAGAAUGGAUGGUAAUUUUACCCAAAAAAUAUAGUGAUCAAAGAUAAAUUGGUACCCACACAAAACUUUAAGGGGAAAAAAAUACAUUUCUCUAAAACCUCAGUUAAUGUACAUUACUGCACCGUGCGUUGUGUACAACAGUUGUACACAAUGCCAAGAGAAAAGGCAAAGUACAGGAAACAAGAACAGUGCAGAAUAAGGAUGUUAAAGUGAUACAUUUGGGCAUAUGAAACACUAACCAAAGAUAUGCUUCAGAAUUGGAUCCCCAAAGGUACAAUUCCAAUGGAACUUGAAAGCUCAACAUAGAAGUUUCCAUUAAGAUUACUAAUUGAUUCAAACCUAUUACUAAACAAGGUGUACUAAUGUCAUGAUGGUGUCUUUCACACAGCACAGAUAUACUUAAUUGGUAAUAUAUAAAAAAUAAGGCAACUAAAUAAGACCAGGGACCUUAAGCUGUUACCUGUGUAAGGGAUUUAAACUUCCAGAACCAAUCUGCAACUUAAUGGACUUAGUGGAGAUCCUAAAAUGUACGGAUCUGCUGUUUGGACUGGUUUUGUGAUAAACAUAUAGAACACAGUCUACAUUUGUGUGAUGUUACUGACUAGCCAGUAAGAAUUUUCUCUCUGCUUUACACCAUUCUUUCUGAUUGCAUUAAACAGUAGGCUCAAUCCUACCAUUUGGUGUUUUGUUUUCCUUCCCAUUUGAUAUUUUCUAAAAUAAGUUCUAUUGUCAGAAAUUACAGCAUCCACUGCACUUGGAAUCCCAAUCAAGUGCCCUCUGAACUGAUUAUACACUUCAUAAUCCUUGCUGUUUGCCCAGCCUGUGUGAAAGUUUUUGACCACUUUUCAAGGGUUUUAGAACCUCUAAAUCCCAGCCUACCAGGAUAGUCUGCUUGUCUUGCCAUUUUCUCCUUCCCAUCUUUCCUUCCAAAAGCUUGAUUCCAGAUCAAUGAUUUGCACUUGUCACUGAAUAAUUACUGAAUAUAGCCACUGCCUCUGGCCUUGUUCCACCUCACCAAUUCUACAUUUUGGGGUAUGUACAGAGAUGAGGUCAAAAUACAAGUGUUCUAUGAAGUUCUGAAAUUUUUGUGGACCAUCUUGGGGUCAGGGGAGAAGGUAUCUUUCCAAUACUUGGUUUCAUUGUUGCAAAUCCUGUCCUCUUGGAAUUACCACUAGUCCACUCUGAGCUCCUGGCAUGCCAUGCAGCUGAGUUGUAACAGGAAGCAGAUUUAAUCUGACAGAAUCCCACAUCAAGUAAAGUAUAAUCCAGUGUAUUUGGAAAACUUAAUAGUUACGCUUACUCAAUUGAUUCUAGUUCUCUUUCAAAAGAGUAUUAAGGUGAGUUCCUGUGUGGAUCAGCGUAAAUGAAUCUGACUGGUGUCCAUGAGGACUCAGGUUCUAUCCCUGGCCUCACUCUGCGUUAAGAAUCCGGCAUUGCCAGGAGCUGUGGUAUAGGUCUCGGACACAGCUUGGAUCUGGUGUUGCUGUGGCUGUUGUGUAGGCUGGCAGCUACAGCUCCUAGCCUGGAAACUUACAUAUGUGGUGGGUGCAGCCCUAAAAAAAAAAAAUGUGUUAAUGAGAAGAGCAUUUCAGGAUACUCAAAAUUCAUCAUUUGAGGAAAAUAAUAGAAAUACAGUGCAUUACUGAGGUCAGGGAACUUAAUGUGUCCUUCCCUGUAGUGCUGAAUAUAAAGUACAAUAAAUGGUCUUUUUUGUGUGUGCGUGUGUUUUUUGUUUUUUUAAGGGCCAUACGGUGGUAUAUGGAAGCUCCCAAGCUAAGGGUUGAGUCAGAGCUGCCAGUGCCAGCCUACACCACAGCCAUAGCAACAUGGGAUCCAACCACAUCUGCAACCUACACUACAUCUCAUGGCAACUCUGGAUCCUUAACCCACUGAGCCAGGCCAGGGAUUGAACCUGAAUCCUCACAGAGACAACAUCGGGUCCCUAACCUGCUGUGCCACAGUAGGAACUCCAGUCUUUGGAAUUCUUCUGUCUCGCAGCAGGUUAAGAAUCCAAAAUUGUCACUGCAGUGGCUUCGGUCCCUGCUGUGGCACAGUUUCAGUCCCUGGCCUGGGAAACUCCACAUGUCCCGGGUGCAGCAAAAGAAACAAAAGGUCUAUUUUCUUUUUUAUCAUUAUUAUUUUAUGAUUUUUUUUCCCAUUGUAGCUGGUUUACAGUGUUCUGUCAAUUUUCUACUGUA